CAACUCAUCAAACAAGAAAAACUUGAGGAAAUUUGAUGAAGUGGAUGAUGGAGGAGACAGUGACUCGAGCUCUGAUCUAUUUGAGCUUUAGAACUAUGA